rnacentral:rRNA from 1 species
UGGUGCCAGCAGCCGCGGUAAUUCCAGCUCCAAUAGCGUAUAUUAAAGUUGUUGCAGUUAAAAAGCUCGUAGUUGAAUUUCGGGGUUAGUAAGUUGGUCAUGCCUCUGGUAUGCACUGGCUUUACUGAUUCCUCCUUCUUGAUGAACUGUAAUGUCAUUAAUUUGGUGUUGCAGGGAAUCAGGACUGUUACUUUGAAAAAAUUAGAGUGUUUAAAGCAGGCAUACGCUUGAAUACAUUAGCAUGGAAUAAUGAAAUAGGACGUUUGAUCCUAUUUUGUUGGUUUCUAGGAUUGACGUAAUGAUUAAUAGGGAUAGUUGGGGGCAUUAGUAUUCAAUUGUCAGAGGUGAAAUUCUUGGAUUUAUUGAAGACUAACUACUGCGAAAACAUUUGCCAAGGAUGUUUUCAUUAAUCAAGAACGAAAGUUAGGGGAUCGAAGACGAUCAGAUACCGUCGUAGUCUUAACCACAAACUAUGCCGACUAGGGA